UACGUAGGCAGCAAGCGUUGUUCGGAGUUACUGGGCGUAAAGGGUGUGUAGGCGGCUUCGUAAGUUCGGUGUGAAAUCUCCUGGCUCAACUGGGAGGGUGCGCCGAAAACUGCGGAGCUUGAGUCCGGGAGAGGAGAGUGGAAUUCCCAGUGUAGCGGUGAAAUGCGUAGAUAUUGGGAGGAACACCAGUGGCGAAGGCGGCUCUCUGGACCGGUACUGACGCUGAAACGCGAAAGCCAGGGGAGCAAACGGG
rnacentral:rRNA from 1 species